AAGUCGUAACAAGGUAACCGUAGGUGAACCUGCGGUUGGAUCAUUAAUAAAUUUAUAAAGGUAAAAGGGUCUUUACGGACCUUUUUACUCUUUAACAAAUUUGUGAACUUUAUUAAAGUCUUUUGGGAUGAUAGCAAUGUUAUCCCAAAAACCCCCUUUAAACAAUUUUUUAUAUAACAAGUCUUUAAAAACCUUUAAAUUUAAUUUAAAAAACAACUUUUGACAACGGAUCUCUUGGCUCUC
rnacentral:misc_RNA from 1 species